rnacentral:rRNA from 1 species
GAUGAACGCUGGCGGCGUGCCUAAUACAUGCAAGUCGAGCGAACAGAUGAGGAGCUUGCUCCUCUGACGUUAGCGGCGGACGGGUGAGUAACACGUGGAUAACCUACCUAUAAGACUGGGAUAACUUCGGGAAACCGGAGCUAAUACCGGAUAAUAUAUUGAACCGCAUGGUUCAAUAGUGAAAGACGGUUUUGCUGUCUCUUAUAGAUGGAUCCGCGCCGCAUUAGCUAGUUGGUAAGGUAACGGCUUACCAAGGCGACGAUGCGUAGCCGACCUGAGAGGGUGAUCGGCCACACUGGAACUGAGACACGGUCCAGACUCCUACGGGAGGCAGCAGUAGGGAAUCUUCCGCAAUGGGCGAAAGCCUGACGGAGCAACGCCGAGUGAGUGAUGAAGGUCUUCGGAUCGUAAAACUCUGUUAUUAGGGAAGAACAAAUGUGUAAGUAACUAUGCACGUCUUGACGGUACCUAAUCAGAAAGCAACGGCUAACUACGUG